rnacentral:rRNA from 1 species
UACGUAGGGUGCGAGCGUUAAUCGGAAUUACUGGGCGUAAAGCGUGCGCAGGCGGUUCGCGGUGUCCUGUGUGAAAGCCCAGGGCUCAACCUUGGAAUUGCCUUCAAAACUGACGAUCUAGAGUAUGGAAGAGGUAAGUGGAACUCCGAGUGUAGAGGUGAAAUUCGUAGAUAUUCGGAAGAACACCAGUGGCGAAGGCGACUUACUGGUCCAUGACUGACGCUGAGGCUCGAAAGCGUGGGGAGCAAACAGG